UUGAACGCUGGCGGUAUGCUUUACACAUGCAAGUCGAACGGCAGCACGGGGCAACCUGGUGGCGAGUGGCGAACGGGUGAGUAACAUAUCGGAACAUAUCCGGAAGUGGGGGAUAACGUAGCGAAAGUUACGCUAGUACCGCAUAUGCCCUGAGGGGGAAAGGGGGGGAUCGCAAGACCUCUCGCUUUCGGAGUGGCCGAUAUCAGAUUAGCUAGUUGGUGAGGUAAAGGCUCACCAAGGCGACGAUCUGUAGCUGGUCUGAGAGGACGACCAGCCACACUGGAACUGAGACACGGUCCAGACUCCUACGGGAGGCAGCAGUGGGGAAUUUUGGACAAUGGGCGCAAGCCUGAUCCAGCCAUACCGCGUGAGUGAAGAAGGCCUUCGGGUUGUAAAACUCUUUCGGCAGGAACGAAACGGUGAGCUCUAACAUAGCUUGCUAAUGACGGUACCUGAAGAAGAAGCACCGGCUAACUACGU
rnacentral:rRNA from 1 species